rnacentral:rRNA from 1 species
AGUGAACGCUGGCGGCAGGCCUAACACAUGCAAGCCGAACGGCAGCACAGUAAGAGCUUGCUCUUACGGGUGGCGAGUGGCGGACGGGUGAGGAAUACAUCGGAAUCUACUUUUUCGUGGGGGAUAACGUAGGGAAACUUACGCUAAUACCGCAUACGACCUACGGGUGAAAGCAGGGGAUCUUCGGACCUUGCGCGAUUGAAUGAGCCGAUGUCGGAUUAGCUAGUUGGCGGGGUAAAGGCCCACCAAGGCGACGAUCCGUAGCUGGUCUGAGAGGAUGAUCAGCCACACUGGAACCGAGACACGGUCCAGACUCCUACGGGAGGCAGCAGUGGGGAAUAUUGGACAAUGGGCGCAAGCCUGAUCCAGCCAUACCGCGUGGGUGAAGAAGGCCUUCGGGUUGUAAAGCCCUUUUGUUGGGAAAGAAAAGCAGCAGGUUAAUACCCCGCUGUUCUGACGGUACCCAAAGAAUAAGCACCGGCUAACUUCGUG